CUUCGCCUCUCGUCCCCAAACACGGCGUCACGGCAUCACACCCCUCGCGGUACAUUAACGCCGUCUGGGACGCGCCGCCCGCUGGCCGAUCAAAGUCAAGGUCAAAUGCAUCAGGAAGGCUCCUCGUGCUGAUUGUGUGUGUUGCAGCACACGCACAGUACCGCCUUACACACACACACACACACACACACACACACACACACACCUGGAGGCGACAUGCGACAAGUGUGUGUGGACAUGUAGCGGGACAGACAGAGCAUAUGGGAGUGUUUACUCAGCUCUGCAGCACGACACUGUGCAUGUGCUCAUAGUGCAUCCUCUUCCUCCCAGUCCACCGUCAUCAUCGGCCCCUCUGUCGCUCCUCUUCCUCCUCUUCCUCCCUCCUUGAGGACGCGAGUAAGAGGAGGAGAUUUACACGGGCUGCCAUCCACGCUUCUCUCUCUCUCUCUCUCUCUCUCUCUCUCCCUCCCUGCUUACUGUCUCCACCUCGCUCGCCCUGAGAGAUAAUUAAAGAGCCCACUAGUGAUCCCAUCCAGCCGGGCAAUCAGACGGUGUGACACACACAAACGCACACAAACGCACACGCACGCACCAGACUGCAGCUUGCACACUUUCAGCAGCAAGUAAAGCAAAGGAUCGAGUUGUAGAAGACGCACACAGAGAUACACACACACACAGAGACACACACAGUCUCUUAGCAAAGGGACACGCCAAGAGGCAAAAGACCAAUUGACCCAGUUCAUUCAAACCUGGCAACCCGCAGGAAGGAAAGGAUGGCUGGAGGAUGGGUGGAUGGGUGGCUGGAGGAUGGGUGGAUGGGUGGCUGGAGGAUGGGUGGAUGGGUGGAUGGGAAAUUGAUUAAAUGAAGGACUGGACUGAUGAAUGGACGGACGGACGGACGGAUGAACUGAUGAAUAGAUGGAGCGAUAAACUGAUGGAUGAGGAAAGAAUGGAGUCACAAUUGUAAGAUGGGGGUUGAGGAGGUUGCAAAAUGAUCGCAAUGACAUGAUGGAUUGUAGUUUAUUGGCGAGACGGUGAUGCAUUUCGGCUUGUUUGGUGUGUGUGACAUCAACGUUUAACUUGGAGCAGGUUCAUUGUAAAAAGAUAUUCGACCUCAAUUGGUUUCAUCGGGUUGAAUAAACGUAGGAAAAGGAGGAGAGGAGCAGACGAAAAGGGGGUGGAGGAUGGAAAAGGGGGACGCAUGAACGCGAGAUACAUAUGAGACUUUUCGAUGGACGCGUAGGAGACAUUUGGGAGAAUGCACGAGAGGAGACGUUGGACGUAAAAAAACAAUAGAUUUAUCGAUCAACAUCGGAUACGAAUGGACGGACAUAUACAAGCGCACAUUGAAAAGAUGGAGGAGUGAAAGGGACUUUGGUCGAAGGGAUGGAGAGUCCUGAAAGCGGAUGCCGGACGGAUGAAUGGUUGGACACAGUCGACACGUAGAAACGCGGGUGGAGGAAGGACGAAUGGACGGAGGGAGCAGGACAGAAUGCAUGAAGGGAAGCAGCGGGACACUGGCUGCAAAACCGGCACUAGACCGAGAUCAAUGGAUGGAUGGAUGGAUGGAGGCUGGCCAAGUGCAUGCGUGUGUAGAACGGGUGGAGGAGGAGACGCACGGACGGAUGAGGCGAUGAAGUCGGAUCGCUGGUCCCAUGACACCCGAAUACGAAUCACCUGCGAUGCGGAAUGAGAAACAAGACGGUUUCGGUUCUCGGUCCGCGGCGCGGACAGGAUGGAGGCGGACGCCACACAGCGCCGACGGGACGCGGCGCGGACGCCACACAACGGCGACGGGACGCGGCGCGGAGACGGACAAAGUACCUGUUGCCGAUUUGGCGAUGCCUGAAGCAACAACACCUUGAAGGCAACGCUGGCGCCUGAACGCCUCACGCGACCGGAGAAAAUGGGCUGAUCCCCCCCAGAGCCGAUAGGCCGCCGCCGCGGACCAGAAGACCCCCGAGAUGAAGACGUCCCAACGAAAGAAGAGCAACGACCGGGAUUCGCACUCGCAUCAUUCAGCAAGAGGAGACGUGUCUUUUAACACGGGUUUAAAUGUUUAAAAAAAAACUUUAAAAACUUUAAAUAAUGAGAAAGGGAAAACUGAUGGAUAAUUAGUGGUUGUCAAACUUAUGAAGAGGGGGGGGGGGGGGGUUUAGCAUCACGCACAUAAAAGCAUAUUUCUGUCUGGGUUUUCUGUUGGGGGGGUAAACUGAGUUUAGUCGGGGGUGAAGCUUAAUCCUCCGCUGUGAAACUCUCUGCGAGGGACACAAAUCUAGGCUUAAAAUAACAGAACCAGCGGCCCAAAGAAUGAUAGAUCCAGAGGGGCUAAGCGCUACGUGCUAAGC
ensembl:lncRNA